AGAGUUUGAUCCUGGCUCAGAACGAACGUUGGCGGCGUGGAUUAGGCAUGCAAGUCGAGGGAAUCCCAGCAAUGGGGGAACCGGCGUAAGGGGCAGUAAUGCAUGGGUACCUACCUUUGGGUUCGGGAUAGCCAUCAGAGAUGGUGGGUAAUACCGGAUGACGUCUAGCGACCAAAGAUUUAUCGCCCGGAGAGGGGCCCAUGUGAUAUUAGGUAGUUGGUGAGGUAACGGCUCACCAAGCCGAAGAUGUCUAGCGGGUGUGAGAGCACGACCCGCGCCACUCGCACUGAGACACUGGCGAGACACCUACGGGUGGCUGCAGUCGAGGAUCUUCGUCAAUGGGGGCAACCCUGAACGAGCGACGCCGCGUGUGCGAUGAAGGCCUUCGGGUUGUAAAGCACUGUCGAGGGGGAGAAAAGCGAAAGCUUGAUCUAUCCCUGGAGGAAGCACGGGCUAAGUUCGUGCCAGCAGCCGCGGUAAGACGAACCGUGCGAACGUUGUUCGGAAUCACUGGGCUUAAAGGGCGCGUAGGCGGGCUGUCAAGUCUGGGGUGAAAUCCCGCGGCUCAACCGUGGAACUGCCUCAGAUACUGACGGCCUCGAGGGAGGUAGGGGCGUGCGGAACUGUGAGUGGAGCGGUGAAAUGCGUUGAUAUUCACAGGAACUCCGGUGGCGAAGGCGGCGCGCUGGGCCUCUUCUGACGCUGAGGCGCGAAAGCUAGGGGAGCAAACGGGAUUAGAUACCCCGGUAGUCCUAGCCCUAAACGAUGGGUACUAGAUAGUAGGAUAGAUCUGGUCUUAC
rnacentral:rRNA from 1 species